rnacentral:rRNA from 1 species
ACAAGCGGUGGAGCAUGUGGUUAAUUCGAAGCAACGCGAAGAACCUUACCAGGCCUUGACAUGCAGAGAACUUUCCAGAGAUGGAUUGGUGCCUUCGGGAACUCUGACACAGGUGCUGCAUGGCUGUCGUCAGCUCGUGUCGUGAGAUGUUGGGUUAAGUCCCGUAACGAGCGCAACCCUUGUCCUUAGUUACCAGCACGUUAUGGUGGGCACUCUAAGGAGACUGCCGGUGACAAACCGGAGGAAGGUGGGGAUGACGCCAAGUCAUCAUGGCCCUUACGGCCUGGGCUACACACGUGCUACAAUGGUCGGUACAAAGGGUUGCCAAGCCGCGAGGUGGAGCUAAUCCCAUAAAACCGAUCGUAGUCCGGAUCGCAGUCUGCAACUCGACUGCGUGAAGUCGGAAUCGCUAGUAAUCGUGAAUCAGAAUGUCACGGUGAAUACGUUCCCGGGCCUU